GACGAACGCUGGCGGCGUGCUUAACACAUGCAAGUCGAGCGGUAAGGCCCUUUCGGGGGUACACGAGCGGCGAACGGGUGAGUAACACGUGAGUAAUCUGCCCUUCACUUCGGGAUAACCAUCGGAAACGAUGGCUAAUACCGGAUAUGACACCUUCUUGCAUGAGAUGGGUGUGGAAAGUUUUUCGGUGGAGGAUGUGCUCGCGGCCUAUCAGCUUGUUGGUGGGGUAAUGGCUCACCAAGGCUUCGACGGGUAGCCGGCCUGAGAGGGUGGCCGGCCAAACUGGAACGGAGACACGGCCCAGACUCCUACGGGAGGCAGCAGUGGGGAAUAUUGGACAAUGGGCGAAAGCCUGAUCCAGCAACGCCGCGUGAGGGAUGACGGCCUUCGGGUUGUAAACCUCUUUCAGCUCCGACGAAGCGCCUUUGUAAGGUUGUGACGGUAGGUGCAGAAGAAGGACCGGCCAACUACGUGCCAGCAGCCGCCGUAAAAC
rnacentral:rRNA from 1 species